AAUUAAUUUUCCAUAUAUAAUAAUAAUGUUAUGUUUAUAGACUUAUACAUGUAAUUAUUAGAAUGUUAUUUGUUACAAGCGCCAUCAACGGAGCCUCUCAGUUAUAAAGCUAAGAUUGCUAUCUGGAGCUUUGUUGGAGUUCUAGUGUUCACUACCAUUGUUGGUCUUCCUACCGUCAUAUUUCGGCGUUAUAAAUGUUCCUGCAUGAUCGAAUUUAGAAGGAGAAACAAAGAAAUGAAAGAAGCAUCAACAAAAGAAGAGAAUGCAAAUCAUUAUGAGGAGCUAACUGGUA